AGGGAGGGGACGGCGGCGGUGAGGGUGAGGAGGAUCAUGCCGACGAAGGAGGCGAUGGAGGCGAGGCCGAUGGUGGUGUAGCGGCCGAGGUAGGAGUCGCUGAGAAAGGCGCCGAGGAUAGGGGCGAGGUUGACGGUGCCGUCCCAGAGGCUGAGCAGCGUGGCGGCGCUGGCGCUCUUCAUGCCGUAGACGGUGGUGAGGUAGACGAGCAGGUUGGCCGUGGUGCCGAUGGUGCCAAGCUUCUCGCAUGUCUCGUUCCCUGUGCACACAACACAUCG
rnacentral:lncRNA from 1 species